AAUGUGGUGCCUGAUUAAAAGGAUUAUUUUGAUAGAAUAAAACAUGUAAAAUUUACCCUCAUUA
rnacentral:tRNA from 1 species